ACUGAAACAUCUAAGUACCCUGAGGAAAAGAAAUCAACCGAGAUUCCCUUAGUAGUGGCGAGCGAACGGGGACUAGCCCUUAAGUGGCUUUGAGAUUAGCGGAACGCUCUGGAAAGUGCGGCCAUAGUGGGUGAUAGCCCUGUACGCGAAAAUCUCUUAGUCAUGAAAUCGAGUAGGACGGAGCACGAGAAACUUUGUCUGAAUAUGGGGGGACCAUCCUCCAAGGCUAAAUACUACUGACUGACCGAUAGUGAACUAGUACCGUGAGGGAAAGGCGAAAAGAACCCCGGAGAGGGGAGUGAAAUAGAUCCUGAAACCGUAUGCGUACAAGCAGUGGGAGCCCACUUUGUUGGGUGACUGCGUACCUUUUGUAUAAUGGGUCAGCGACUUAUUUUCAGUGGCGAGCUUAACCGAAUAGGGGAGGCGUAGCGAAAGCGAGUCUUAAUAGGGCGUCUAGUCGCUGGGAAUAGACCCGAAACCGGGCGAUCUAUCCAUGGGCAGGUUGAAGGUUGGGUAACACUAACUGGAGGACCGAACCGACUACCGUUGAAAAGUUAGCGGAUGACCUGUGGAUCGGAGUGAAAGGCUAAUCAAGCUCGGAGAUAGCUGGUUCUCCUCGAAAGCUAUUUAGGUAGCGCCUCAUGUAUCACUGUAGGGGGUAGAGCACUGUUUCGGCUAGGGGGUCAUCCCGACUUACCAAACCGAUGCAAACUCCGAAUACCUACAAGUGCCGAGCAUGGGAGACACACGGCGGGUGCUAACGUCCGUCGUGAAAAGGGAAACAACCCAGACCGUCAGCUAAGGUCCCAAAGUUAUGGUUAAGUGGGAAACGAUGUGGGAAGGCUUAGACAGCUAGGAGGUUGGCUUAGAAGCAGCCACCCUUUAAAGAAAGCGUAAUAGCUCACUAGUCGAGUCGGCCUGCGCGGAAGAUGUAACGGGGCUCAAACCAUACACCGAAGCUACGGGUAUCACUUAGGUGAUGCGGUAGAGGAGCGUUCUGUAAGCCUGUGAAGGUGAGUUGAGAAGCUUGCUGGAGGUAUCAGAAGUGCGAAUGCUGACAUGAGUAACGACAAUGGGUGUGAAAAACACCCACGCCGAAAGACCAAGGUUUCCUGCGCAACGUUAAUCGACGCAGGGUUAGUCGGUCCCUAAGGCGAGGCUGAAAAGCGUAGUCGAUGGAAAACAGGUUAAUAUUCCUGUACUUCUGGUUAUUGCGAUGGAGGGACGGAGAAGGCUAGGCCAGCUUGGCGUUGGUUGUCCAAGUUUAAGGUGGUAGGCUGGAAUCUUAGGUAAAUCCGGGAUUCUAAGGCCGAGAGCUGAUGACGAGUGUUCUUUUAGAACACGAAGUGGUUGAU
rnacentral:rRNA from 1 species